rnacentral:rRNA from 1 species
UCAGAACGUCGUGAGACAGUUCGGUCCCUAUCCGUCGCAGGCGUAGGAAAUUUGAGAAGACCUGUCCUUAGUACGAGAGGACCGGGAUGGACGUACCUCUGGUGUACCAGUUGUUCUGCCAAGGGCAUGGCUGGGUAGCUAUGUACGGAAUGGAUAAGCGCUGAAAGCAUCUAAGCGCGAAGCCAACUUCAAGAUAAGAUUUCCCACCGCAAGGGUAAGACCCCAGAAAGACUAUCUGGUUGAUAGGUCGAAGGUGUAAGUGCAGCAAUGUAUUUAGCUUAUCGAUACUAAUAGGUCGAGGACUUGACCAAU